rnacentral:rRNA from 1 species
UCUUUAUUAGAUUUUUAACAACCCGGGCAACCGGUUUUGCGGUGAUUCAUGAUAAUUUUUCAAAUCGCCUGGACUUGCGCCUCCGAUGGUGCAUUACAAAUGCUGCCCUCUCUCCCUUCGAAGGGAGGAUUGAGGCCUCCCCUGGUUUUAACGGGUAACGGAGAAUUUUGGUUCGAUUCCUGAGAGGGGGUCCGAGAAAAAGCUGCCUGUUCCGAAGAAGGUAGUUUGUGCGAAAAUUCUCCCCUCCUUACCCAGGGCGGUAGGGACAAUAAAUAACAAUACAGGACACUUAUGUGUCUUGUCAUUGGAAUGAGUUCCAUUUAAAUCCAUUAACGAGGACCAAUUGGAGGGCAAGUCUGGUGCCAGCAGCCGCGCUAAUUCCCGCUCCAAUCUUGGAUAUUCCAGCUGGGAGCUGGAAAAGCUGCGGCUGCAGUUUUGAGACUUGCCCUCUGAUUGGGCCUCACUGUCAAUACUGCUUUUUUCUAUUCGAUUGACCUUACACUCUAUCUUGGUAACUUGUUUUUUCUUGACUCUACCGCCCUUGGGAUCGAUGACAGUUUCUUUGCAACCUACUGC